rnacentral:rRNA from 1 species
GACCAGACUCCUACGGGAGGCAGCAGUGGGGGAUAUUGCACAAUGGGGGGAACCCUGAUGCAGCGACGCCGCGUGGGUGAAGGAGUGCUUCGGCAUGUAAAGCCCUAUCGGCAGGGAAGAAGCAAGACGGUACCUGACUAAGAAGCCCCGGCUAACUACGUGCCAGCAGCCGCGGGAAUACGUAGGGGGCGAGCGUUAUCCGGAUUCACUGGGUGUAAAGGGAGCGUAGACGGCCAUGCAAGCCAGGGGUGAAAGCCCGGGGCCCAACCCCGGGACUGCCCUUGGAACUGCAUGGCUGGGGUGCAGGAGGGGCAGGCGGAAUUCCUGGUGUAGCGGUGAAAUGCGUAGAUAUCAGGAGGAACACCGGUGGCGAAGGCGGCCUGCUGGACUGCAACUGACGUUGAGGCCCGAAAGCGUGGGGAGCAAACAGGAUUAGAUACCCCAGUAUG